UUAGAGUUUGAUCCUGGCUCAGAAGGAACGCUGGCAGCGUGCAUAACACAUGCAAGUCGAACGAUGAAGCAUUCUUCGGAAUGUGGAAGAGUGGCGAACGGGUGAGGAACACGUAAGAAUCUGCCCCUCGGUCGGGGACAACUCUUGGAAACGAGAGCUAAUACCCGAUACUCUGUGGAGUGAAAGAAUUUCGCCGAGGGAUGAUCUUGCGUCUGAUUAGCUAGUUGGUGUGGUAAUGGCACACCAAAGCGACGAUCAGUAGCUGGUCUGAGAGGAUGAACAGCCACAUUGGAACUGAGACACGGUCCAAACUCCUACGGGAGGCAGCAGUGGGGAAUUUUCCGCAAUGGACGAAAGUCUGACGGAGCGACGCUGCGUGAAGGAUGACGGCCUGCGGGUUGUAAACUUCUUUUCUCGAAGAAGAAGCUCUGACGGUAUUCGAGGAAUAAGCAUCGGCUAACUCCGUGCCAGCAGCCGCGGUAAUACGGAGGAUGCAAGUGUUAUUCGGAAUGAUUGGGCGUAAAGCGUCUGUAGGCUGUAUAGAAAGUCUUUUGUUAAAUGCCUCGGCUCAACCGAGAUCCAGCAAAGGAAACUUUUAUACUUGAGGGAAGUAGAGGUACAGGGAAUUCCCGGUGGAGCGGUGAAAUGCGUAGAUAUCGGGAGGAACACCAAUAUGGCGAAGGCACUGUACUGGGCUUUACCUGACGCUCAGAGACG
rnacentral:rRNA from 1 species